GUGCUUGCUUCUGCUGCACAUAUACUAAAAUUGGAAUGAUACAGAGAAGAUUAGUAUGGCCCUUGUGCAAGGAUGACAUGCAACUUUGUGAAGACCUACAUAUUAAA